rnacentral:telomerase_RNA from 1 species
AAUUUCGGGGCUCACGAGUGAGCAUCAAAUUCGCCAUGCAGGUGUUAAAGAUUGCUCGUUGCUACCUAACCCAGACCUAACUUAGGCUUGGAGUAAGUUUUGGUUUCUUUUACCGUUGCAGUUUGUAAUUAGACAAUGCAGCUUUUAAUCGUAGAGUCACCUCUGGUUUCUUUGCCGUUCUUCCAGAGUAAAAAAAAAAUGAUCGAAUAACGGCAACCCUCGUAGCCCUCUUAUUUU